rnacentral:rRNA from 1 species
CUCCUGGGAAGUCCUCGUGUUGCACCCCUCUCUUUUUCUUCGCGUUUUUUUCGUUGGGGUUGUCGUUUGCGGCGGUCCAGCACGCUCGCUCUGCAUGCACCCCUUUGAUCUUCCCUGCAUUUAUUUUUUUUCUCGCUGGGCUUAUCGUGUACGUCGGUCCAGCACGCUCGCUUUGGAGGCUUAGCCCGCCCCAGGCUAAAAGCACGAGCCGCAGAUCUCGUUUCGGGUGCUAAAGCGUCGCGGGGACGUCGAAAUGCGCGGAAGCCCCUCGGGCUGCACCUCUCCGGCGGUAAGGUGCAUCGUUGCGUUCGGAUCCUUUUAUAAGAAUUAAACGCGCUUAUGCUGAUGGGUGCGAUCAUACCAACACUAAUGCACCGGA